GACGUAGGGGGCAAGCGUUGUUCGGAAUUAUUGGGCGUAAAGCGCUCGUAGGCGGGACUGGAAGUCCGUGUUGAAAGACCUCGGCUCAACUGAGGGACCGGCUCGGAUACUCUAGUUCUUGAGGCAAUCAGAGGGUGAUGGAAUUCCCGGUGUAGCGGUGAAAUGCGUAGAUAUCCGCAGGAACAUCCGAGGCGAAAGCGGCUUGCUGGAUCGCAACGUGACGCUGAGGGACGAAAGCUAGGGGAGCAAACAGG
rnacentral:rRNA from 1 species